rnacentral:rRNA from 1 species
GACGAACGCUGGCGGCGUGCUUAACACAUGCAAGUCGAACGAUGAAGAAAAGAAUUGAAGCUUCGGCAGAAAUUCAUUUCGGAUUAGUGGCAGACGGGUGAGUAACGCGUGAGCAACCUACCUCUUACAAAGGGAUAGCCUCGGGAAACCGGGAUUAAUCCCAUUUAACAUUGCGACGAAGCAUUUCGUUGCAAUCAAAGCUACGGCGGUAAGAGAUGGGCUCGCGUCCCAUUAACCAGAUGGUGAGGUAACGGCUCACCAUAGUAACGAUGGGUAACCGGCCUGAGAGGGUGAACGGUCACACUGGAACUGAGACACGGUCCAGACUCCUACGGGAGGCAGCAGUGGGGAAUAUUGCACAAUGGAGGGAACUCUGAUGCAGCGACGCCGCGUGAGUGAUGAAGGAAUUCGUUUCGUAAAACUCUGUUCUAUGGGAAGAAAAGGACUGUACCAUAGGAGAAAGCUCCGGCUAAAUACGUG